AUGAGCACCGAUUCUGAUGGGUGGCGCGAGCAGAUGAUUGCUCUUAUCGGUAUGGCUCCUACCGAGGAGGGAGAAGAGAAGAAGAAGAAGAAGGAAAGGAAAGCAGCCGGAGCUGCUUUCACAUGGAUUCAAACUCACUUUGCGACGUGCCCUCCGGAUGCCACUGAUGACGUGAUCCAGACACAUGCUCGUGUCUACAUGUGGUAUGUUGUGUCGAGGACUUUGUUUCCUGACUCCACUGGCAAGAACGCUCCAUGGAUGUGGCUGAAGGCGUUGACCGUCUUCGAUAGCAAAUGGAGCUGGGGUUCAGCGACUCUUGCCUACUUGUACCGACAGGUAGUUGGUCUGUUUUGUGAUCAACUCAUUUCUUCAUUAGCAAUGCAAGCUUGCUGUCAAGUUAACAUUGUUUUUCUUUCAUAUGCAGCUGGACGAUGCGUGUUGCAGGAUCACAGAUAG
rnacentral:rRNA from 1 species